GACGAACGCUGGCGGCGUGCCUAAUACAUGCAAGUAGAACGCUGAAGAGAGGAGCUUGCUCUUCUUGGAUGAGUUGCGAACGGGUGAGUAACGCGUAGGUAACCUGCCUUGUAGCGGGGGAUAACUAUUGGAAACGAUAGCUAAUACCGCAUAACAAUGGAUGACACAUGUCAUUUAUUUGAAAGGGGCAAUUGCUCCACUACAAGAUGGACCUGCGUUGUAUUAGCUAGUAGGUGAGGUAAUGGCUCACCUAGGCGACGAUACAUAGCCGACCUGAGAGGGUGAUCGGCCACACUGGGACUGGGACACGGCCCAGACUCCUACGGGAGGCAGCAGUAGGGAAUCUUCGGCAAUGGGGGCAACCCUGACCGAGCAACGCCGCGUGAGUGAAGAAGGUUUUCGGAUCGUAAAGCUCUGUUGUAAGUCAAGAACGGGUGUGAGAGUGGAAAGUUCACACUGUGACGGUAGCUUACCAGAAAGAGACGGCUAACUACGUG
rnacentral:rRNA from 1 species